UUCUAGACCUCGGUCUUUCCGCGUCCUUCUACGCUUCGCUCCCACUCUUGCCGACCCUGCGCCCGAGGGAGAGCCGGAAAGGCCCCUCUGAUCAACAGCUGAAAUGCAUAAGAGCAGGGGGCAGAGUAGAAGACAUGGGAGAAGGAGCCACCGACACAACCCUUGGUCCAGACAGCAGGGUUCUAAUGAGAGGAAUAAUACAGGGGUACAGCAAAGCCCACAGGGUUCCAGCCACAGCGACGAUGAGGCCCCGUCGACCUCCUCCAGCACAGCUGGCAGUUCUUCCGUGCCAGAUCUACCAGGUUAUUACUUCGACCCUGAAAAGAAACGCUACUUCCGCUUGCUCCCUGGACAUAACAACUGCAACCCCCUCACGAAGGAGAGCAUCCGGCAGAAGGAAAUGGAGAGCAAAAGGCUGCAGCUGCUAGAGAAGGAGGACAAGCAGGGAAAGAAAAUAGCCAGGUUGGGAUUUAAUGCAUCUUCCUUACUACAAAAAAGCAAGCUGGGUUUUCUCAACGUCACCAGUUACUGCCGUUUAGCCCAUGAGCUGCGAGUGAGCUGCAUGCAGAGGAAAAAGGUCCAAAUUCAGAGCUCGGAUCCCUCCGCUUUGGCAAGUGACCGAUUUAACCUGAUACUGGCGGAUACCAACAGUGACCGGCUCUUCACUGUGAACGAUGUCAAAGUCGGGGGCUCCAAGUACGGCAUCAUCAACCUGCGCGGCCUGAAGACCCCCACGCUCAGGGUGCACAUGCAUGAAAACCUCUACUUCACCAACCGGAAGGUGAAUGCUGUGAGCUGGGCCUCGCUGAGUCACCUGGAUUCCCACAUUCUGCUGUGCCUCAUGGGAAUUGCAGAGACUCCAGGCUGUGCCACCCUGCUCCCAGCGUCAUUGUUUGUCAGUAGUCAUCCAGCAGGAGACCGGCCUGGCAUGCUCUGCAGUUUCCGGAUCCCCGGGGCCUGGUCCUGUGCGUGGUCCCUGAACAUCCAGGCAAAUAACUGCUUUAGUACAGGCUUGUCUCGGCGAGUCCUGGUGACCAGCGUGGUGACGGGACACCGGCAGUCAUUUGGGACCAGCAGUGACGUCUUGGCCCAGCAGUUUGCUAUUAUGGCUCCUUUGCUGUUUAAUGGCUGUCGUUCCGGCGAAAUCUUUGCCAUUGAUCUGCGUUGUCGAAAUCAGGGCAAGGGCUGGAAAGCCACCCGCCUGUUCCAUGACUCAGCAGUUACCUCUGUGCAAAUCCUGCAAGAAGAGCAAUGCCUGAUGGCAUCUGACAUGGCUGGAACGAUCAAGCUGUGGGACCUGAGGACUACUAAGUGUAUGAGGCAGUACGAAGGGCACGUGAACGAGUACGCCCACCUGCCCCUGCACGUGCACGAGGAAGAAGGACUCGUGGUGGCAGUGGGCCAGGACUGCUACACGAGAAUCUGGAGCCUCCAUGAUGCCCAGCUGCUCAGAACCAUACCCUCCCCACACCCCACUUCCAAGGCCGACAUUCCCAGUGUGGCCUUCUCUUCUCGGCUUGGGGGCUUCCGGGGAGCGCCAGGGCUGCUCAUGGCCAUCCGGCAGGACCUUUACUGCUUCUCCUACAGCUAAUUCUGCAGAUUGCAGCCUGGAGGGACGUGGAUGUGACUCAGGGGAGCACAGACCUACAGCUGAUAACUGCAUCUCACUGUUGCUAGCCCAGGAUGCUUCACCAGUUACACUCUCUUCGGUUACCCCCUUGAGUGUUAUGCAUCUGUGUCCUGCCAGAACCCUACUACAACUUAAGUAACUGGUGUUGCACCUCUGGUGAAGAGCCAGUGGAGACAACUGACUACUCAGAAUACCUGACGAGAACAGCGGCACAAGCUGGUGACCAGAAACGUCCACAGAUCGACACUCAGUGUCCCCCAACAAGGGCACCCAGACACCAAGUUAGCCCCACUUACCUGGCAGCCCUCGAUCUGCCCUGGCCUAAAUCUUCCAUGUAACCACCUCUGAAAACAACUGCAGGCUAAACUCAGUUUCUUCUUCCAUUUCUCCAUGAAUAUUAGUAAAAGCCUUCCCUUUCGUUUUUAUUUAUUUUCUUUGGCUGCGCCACGCUGCUUGUGGAAUCUUAGUUCCCCACCCAGGGAUUGAACCUGGGCCGUUGGCAAUGAAAGCACAGAGUCCUAACCACUGGACCUCCAGGGAAUUCCCUGGGCCCACUCCUUCAAGUCUGCCUCUCCAGGCCACCCACCACAUGGCCACUGCCACGGGAAUGACCUUCCCAAAGAUCCCUGCACUCAACGCCUUCUUGUACCUCAGAAUAAAAAGUGCGGCAUCGGGCCUCCCUGGUGGCGCAAGUGGUUGAGAGUCCGCCUGCCGAUGCAGGGGAUACGGGUUCGUGCCCCGGUCCGGGAGGAUCCCAUAUGCCGCGGAGCGGCUGGGCCCGUGAGCCAUGGCCGCUGGGCCUGCGCGUCCGGAGCCUGUGCUCCGCAACGGGGGAGGCCACAACAGUGAGAGGCCCGCGUACCGCAAAAAGAAAAAAAAGUGCGGCAUCUUGAGAUUUGAUCACAUGUGCCUCACCCUGUUGCCCCUUCUCCACCUCCCACCUGGUGCUCUCAGGACACAGUUACAAGUCCCUCCGUCAUCUGGGCCUCUGCUCAAGCUGUCCUCCACUCCUUUCAUCUGUUGAGUCUCAGCUUCACAGAAACCUCGAGGAAGCUUAGUUUCCCCAGCACUUGCCACAUCUAGACACUUAGUAUGUUGAAUGAACAAUUUUUGCCAGCAUUAUUCCCUUUUAAUUCUUAGAACCUUACGAAGCACGUGAAGGUCACUCCUAUAUACCAAAGAAAAAACUGAGAAUAAAGCAAUUUGUCCAAGGUCUCCUGCUAAUAAGUAGCAGAGCCAACAGGGUCUCCUGCUCAAGAAAUCUAUUAGGCCCCAUGUGUUGGAGGGAAUGGAAUUUUUACUUUUCCUCUGGAACUUUAAGAUCUCCUUAGGAUAAUUUUCCGGGACUUCCCUGGUGGCGCAGUGGUUAAGAAUCCACUUGCGGGCCUCCCUGGUGGCGCAAGUGGUUAAGAGUCCGCCUGCCGAUGCAGGGGAUACGGGUUCGUGCCCCGGUCUGGGAGGAUCCCAUAUGCCGCAGAGCGGCUGGGCCCGUGAGCCAUGGCCGCUGGGCCUGCGCAUCCGGAGCCUGUGCUCCGCAACGGGA